GACCGGCUCAACAGCAGCACCACGUGCUUGAGUAGAAUGACCGAGUCAUAGAGAGCCAGGAAGAGGCAGUUGGAGAAAAAAACUGGCAGAAUUUGCAGUGUGAUCAGCAAGUCUAUGCUGAGGAUGCCCAUCUUCUCUGCCUCCUGAGCUACCUACUGGUAAGACAGAGGGGGAAAAAAAGACAAAGGAAAUAAAAAGGAGAGGGAAAGCAAAAAUGAAGAGAAAAAGGAAGGUAAAGAUGGUAGGAGAAAGGCAGGGAAAGAAAAGAUUCAAUGAGUUGCCAGUGGAGGCCACCAACAGACAGCCAAUUAAUGCCAAAUGUGGCGAUGCUUUUUGUGAGGCAACAGUUGUCCGGUAUCUGGAUGAAAGCCACCACCGCAUUUCACAGAGGCCACAGAACAGCUGUUAGGAGACAACAAUAGACUUCACUUAUGAUUGGCCUGGUCUGGAUCCACAAUGAUAGCCAAUCCUCUCUCCCUGCUGCCCAAACCUCUCCAGGUGCCUUGACUGUUAUUUGGUUUUAAGAACAGUUUAUCAACCUCUAGAGACACCUGGAGUUUGGGAUGGUGUGGGAAGAGGGGUGGUAGGGGAAUCGAGAAGAAGACUUUGUAAAGUUAUACAUGGUGAAUUCAUUCAGCAUCAAAAAAAAAAAAAGAAAGAAAAAGCUCAAAAUGAGGAAAUUGAACUCACCCUUUUUUUUCUGAAACUGUGACUCAAUCUCUUCUUUCUCCCUAAAUCCUUGACCCAAUGCAGUAGACCAAAAGAAACAAAGGAAAAUGGUCAAAAAAAGUCAUCAUCUCUGGAACAACAUUUCCUUUACUACGUUUCAUUCGUCAGCUCAUAAGAAACCACCAGAUGAUAUUAAGUUUUAAAAUAAAAUAGGUCAUUCUUUAUAAAAGGCUUUACAGCAGCUUUUUAAAAAAGUCACUUAUCCAUCACCUCCCUCAUAUGCUGAAUAUGUGAACACCAAGCAUGACAAAAUAUACUAAGAAACAUGCUGGCUCAUGCCAUUUCAGAGGUAAUGGUGUAGUUUGUUCCCACUGAGAGCAAAGGAUGCCACACCUCCUCUCUCAAGAAUCAGUACACUAAGUAAGGCUCAAAGAAAAUAAACUAGAUAUUCUAUUCUAACCUCAGUGGAAAUGAGGAAGCUAAUAGAAUUAACUGUAGCAUGACAAAUUUCUGUUUGGUAAGAGGAUAAAAUACCUGCAAUGAGGAUGAUUGUAUAAUGAGUGCGUUACCAAGGGAGGUUAUGAAAAUGUUAUCAGUGGACUCACAAGGUAGGGAGGAAGGCUAGUAAAAUAAUCUCUCAAAACCUUUUUAA